AACGAACGCUGGCGGCAGGCCUAACACAUGCAAGUCGAGCGAGGUAGCAAUACCUAGCGGCGGACGGGUGAGUAACGCGUGGGAACGUACCCUUUGCUACGGAAUAGCCCCGGGAAACUGGGAGUAAUACCGUAUGUGCCCUUCGGGGGAAAGAUUUAUCGGCAAAGGAUCGGCCCGCGUUGGAUUAGGUAGUUGGUGAGGUAAUGGCCUACCAAGCCUACGAUCCAUAGCUGGUUUGAGAGGAUGAUCAGCAACACUGGGACUGAGACACGGCCCAGACUCCUACGGGAGGCAGCAGUGGGGAAUCUUAGACAAUGGGCGCAAGCCUGAUCCAGCCAUGCCGCGUGAGUGAUGAAGGCCUUAGGGUUGUAAAGCUCUUUCAGAUGGGAAGAUAAUGACGGUACCAUCAGAAGAAGCCCCGGCUAACUCCGUGCCAGCAGCCGCGGUAAUGUCGUACG
rnacentral:rRNA from 1 species